AAGUGUUAUAUUGACCUUUUUGGCCAACAAGUCUGUGAUAAUUUAUUUUUUUAUCAACACAAAAAGGAUCACCUGCCAUUUUGAAUUUGUUUUGAUGUGUGCAAUUUGAUUUUUUAUCUGAAUGGAAAACUUUUCUUAUACUAUUUCUUUGACAUGUUGUUCAUUGAUACCUAUUCGAUCAACCAUACCGUUCAUUGUGUAUUUAAUUUAAGACUUCUUCAUUUUGAAUUUUCAGCUUAGCUGUUCCAAAUUGUUUUAUAAACUUCAUUUUUGCAUAAUGUGUUAUUGUAAAAUAAAAUUGAACCCAGGAACUGAAAACCAAAGAAAACCAUUCCAUGUUGUCC
rnacentral:misc_RNA from 1 species